rnacentral:rRNA from 1 species
AAUGAACGCUGGCGGCGUGCUUAACACAUGCAAGUCGAGCGAGGCCUGGGGGGGCAACUCCCAGAGUCGAGCGGCGGACGGGUGAGUAACACGUGGGUAACCUGCCCGGAAGUGGGGAAUACCUCGGGGAAACUCGAGCUAAUACCGCAUGACAUCUCCGGGACGAAAGUCCUGGCGAUCAAAGCGGGGUCGCAAGAUCUCGCGCUACCGGAGUGGGCCCGCGCCCGAUUAGCUAGUUGGNGAGGUAACGGCUCACCAAGGCUUCGAUCGGUAACCGGCCUGAGAGGGCGAUCGGUCACACCGGAACUGA